rnacentral:tRNA from 1 species
GGCCCAAUGGUCUAGUAGUAUGAUUCGCGCUUCGGGUAACUGCAUGCGCGAGGUCCCGGGUUCAAUUCCCGGUUGGGCCC